CCUACGGGUUGCACCAGUGAGGAAUAUUGGUCAAUGGAGGCAACUCUGAACCAGCCAUGCCGCGUGCAGGAAGACUGCCCUAUGGGUUGUAAACUGCUUUUAUACAGGAAGAAACUUAGUUACGUGUAACUAACUGACGGUACUGUAAGAAUAAGCACCGGCUAACUCCGUGCCAGCAGCCGCGGUAAUACGGAGGGUGCAAGCGUUUUCCGGAAUCAUUGGGUCUAAAGGGUCCGCAGGCGGUCAAUUAAGUCAGAGGUGAAAUCCCAUAGCUUAACUAUGGAACUGCCUUUGAUACUGGUUGACUUGAGUUAUACGGAAGUAGAUAGAAUAAGUAGUGUAGCGGUGAAAUGCAUAGAUAUUACUUAGAAUACCGAUUGCGAAGGCAGUCUACUACGUAUAUACUGACGCUCAUGGGCGAAAGCGUGGGGAGCGAACAGGAUUAGAUACCCCUGUAGUC
rnacentral:rRNA from 1 species